GAUGAACGCUGGCGGCGUGCUUAACACAUGCAAGUCGAACGAUGAAGCCCAGCUUGCUGGGCGGAUUAGUGGCGAACGGGUGAGUAACACGUGAGUAACCUGCCCUUGACUCUGGGAUAAGCCCGGGAAACUGGGUCUAAUACCGGAUAGGAGCGCCUGUCGCAUGACGGGUGCUGGAAAGAUCUUUCGGUCAUGGAUGGACUCGCGGCCUAUCAGCUUGUUGGUGAGGUAACGGCUCACCAAGGCGACGACGGGUAGCCGGCCUGAGAGGGUGACCGGCCACACUGGGACUGAGACACGGCGCAGACCCCUACGGGAGGCAGCAGUGGGGAAUAUUGCACAAUGGGCGAAAGCCUGAUGCAGCGACGCCGCGUGAGGGAUGACGGCCUUCGGGUUGUAAACCUCUUUCAGCAGGGAAGAAGCGAAAGUGACGGUACCUGCAGAAGAAGCACCGGCUAACUACGUG
rnacentral:rRNA from 1 species